ACGGGAGGCAGCAGUAGGGAAUCUUCCGCAAUGGACGAAAGUCUGACGGAGCAACGCCGCGUGAGUGAUGAAGGUUUUCGGAUCGUAAAGUUUUGUUGUUAGGGAAGAACAAGUUCCGUUCGAAUAGGGCGGUACCUUGACGGUACCUAACCAGAAAGCCACGGCUAAUUACGUGCCAGCAGCCGCGGUAAUACGUAGGUGGCAAGCGUUGUCCGGAAUUAUUGGGCGUAAAGGGCUCGCAGGCGGUUUCUUAAGUUUGAUGUGAAAGCCCCCGGCUCAACCGGGGAGGGUCAUUGGAAACUGGGGAACUUGAGUGCAGAAGAGGAGAGUGGAAUUCCACGUGUAGCGGUGAAAUGCGUAGAGAUGUGGAGGAACACCAGUGGCGAAGGCGACUCUCUGGUCUGUAACUGACGCUGAGGAGCGAAAGCGUGGGGAGCGAACAGGAUUAGAUACCCUGGUAGUCCACGCCGUAAACGAUGAGUGCUAAGUGUUAGGGGGUUUCCGCCCCUUAGUGCUGCAGCUAACGCAUUAAGCACUCCGCCUGGGGAGUACGGUCGCAAGACUGAAACUCAAAGGAAUUGACGGGGGCCCGCACAAGCGGUGGAGCAUGUGGUUUAAUUCGAAGCAACGCGAAGAACCUUACCAGGUCUUGACAUCCUCUGACAAUCCUAGAGAUAGGACGUCCCCUUCGGGGGCAGAGUGACAGGUGGUGCAUGGUUGUCGUCAGCUCGUGUCGUGAGAUGUUGGGUUAAGUCCCGCAACGAGCGCAACCCUUGAUCUUAGUUGCCAGCAUUCAGUUGGGCACUCUAAGGUGACUGCCGGUGACAAACCGGAGGAAGGUGGGGAUGACGUCAAAUCAUCAUGCCCCUUAUGACCUGGGCUACACACGUGCUACAAUGGACAGAACAAAGGGCAGCGAAACCGCGAGGUUAAGCCAAUCCCACAAAUCUGUUCUCAGUUCGGAUCGCAGUCUGCAACUC
rnacentral:rRNA from 1 species